AGGAAAGGGAAGAUAGUGAAGAUGAAAAAGGUGAUGAGGAAGGGGAUGAGUUGGAUUCUCAGGAGAUGGAGGAGGAUUGACCAAACUUUUCAAUUUUUAAUUUUAUUUUGUGAAUAUAAUUAGCUUAGGAUAAUUUUUAUUGCUUUAGGAGUAGCUUUAACAGUAGAUUUCUAUAUAUUUUCUUUCUUUACUAUUUCAAAUUUUCUAUGUAGGAACCGCAAAUGACAGAAGCACGACAUGUACAAGCUUUCA
rnacentral:lncRNA from 1 species